rnacentral:rRNA from 1 species
AUGUACACCUUGUCUCUUUUGUUAGCCACAUUUCAGAUUAAGCAACGCCGAGGACGGCUUUAUUUUCAAGAAGGGGAGGAUGAUGAGGACAUGACUACCUUGGAUAUGACCAAAAAUAUUGCAUAUAUGCAGAUUUGUCAGGUGAUUUCUAGUGCAAACUAUUCAAUAAUCUAUUUAUGUUAUCCAGAACAAAAAUACUUCACACACUUUUGUGUUUUGUCUAAUUGCAGGUGUAUGGGACAGUCGUACAAUCCACAUAUGAAGAUAAGGAAGAAAGAGAUGUUUAUUUGCUGUCCAAAAAGUUCUCUCACGUCACUUUUGGCCCAAGAGAAGACAGAGUCCAAGUCUCUCACGUUCUGGAUUCAGAUUCGGACUGCACAGACACACCUGACUCAAAACGCACACAAGUUUUUCAUACAGACUCCGAAUUGGGUGAUUCUUUUUUUGUUGGAAACUAGAUUUCGUGCACUUUCCAACCCAAUUGGAAUCACCUUCAAAUUCGUCCGGAGCGUUGAGUUGUGGAUGAAACAAUCUGAUGCUGCAGCAGAAUCCGAGUCAAACUACAAGUCCAAAGGUGUUACAUCACCUCCACUUGGGCCCAUUGGCCUUGUACGACCUAGAUUUAGUUUUAGGCUGCCUUGGGAUGUCCUCCCACCUCCUUGGCCGCCACCCCUUGCUCCUAUAUAA